GAUGAACGCUGGCGGCGUGCCUAAUACAUGCAAGUCGAGCGAACGGACGAGAAGCUUGCUUCUCUGAUGUUAGCGGCGGACGGGCGAGUAACACGUGGAUAACCUACCUAUAAGACUGGGAUAACUUCGGGAAACCGGAGCUAAUACCGGAUAAUAUUUUGAACCGCAUGGUUCAAAAGUGAAAGACGGUCUUGCUGUCACUUAUAGAUGGAUCCGCGCUGCAUUAGCUAGUUGGUAAGGUAACGGCUUACCAAGGCAACGAUGCAUAGCCGACCUGAGAGGGUGAUCGGCCACACUGGAACUGAGACACGGUCCAGACUCCUACGGGAGGCAGCAGUAGGGAAUCUUCCGCAAUGGGCGAAAGCCUGACGGAUCAACGCCGCGUGAGUGAUGAAGGUCUUCGGAUCGUAAAACUCUGUUAUUAGGGAAGAACAUAUGUGUAAGUAACUGUGCACAUCUUGACGGUACCUAAUCAGAAAGCCACGGCUAACUACGUG
rnacentral:rRNA from 1 species